AGCCUGAUGGUGUAAUGGUAGCACACCUGGUUUUGGUCCAGGCGGUCGGGGUUCGAACCCCUGUCGGGCUGCCA
rnacentral:tRNA from 2 species